CUAAUGGUUUACCUUUUCUGUAGCUUAUUAAUAAAAAGAAAGGGAGCAUGUUCAGACUCCAUCAACAGAACAGAUGACUUGAAGAAGUCAUCAACAGAACCCAGGGUGGUUGAUACAUCCUGUGUGGGACUUAACAGUCCACCAAAGAGAAUUUCCAAGGGCCAUCAAAUGAUGGCUAAUAUUUUUGACUAACAAGUCCAUUUUGUCAAUACAAAUGCUAUAGGAUUAUCGAUAAAAGUAUUGAGUGCCUAAACGAAGAUCUGAGAGCAAUUUAUUAAGUUCUAAAUAAGGUUAAGAAAUUAUAAGGUUAUUAUAGAGAAGUUUUUCUUUUCUUUAGAAAUAAAAAAGAUUGAAUUUAUUGUUGUUUGUGUGGGCGUGCUGUUGGGAAUUGUGUCCCGAAGCCAAUUUUUUAAUCGUAAGAAAUUGGAUUAUGUAUAUGUUUUAUUAAAAUGAAUAAAAAUUUAUUCUAGCAUUUUUCUAUUCAUCACAAAUGAUACAUCUUCAAAUUGAACUCCUGUGUAUUGUGAUGAAGUCCUUAGGACUAAUUUAGUGGAUAAAGGAGGUUUUAUCAUUUAGUCCUUAAAUCAGUUCGCGACCAAAUGAUGAGCUGUCAAUCGGACAAUAGCUAUGUCAAGCAUAGGUCGUUGUGUGCCAUUUAGUUAGUUGUCCUCUUAAACCAAGGAGUGUAUAGACACUGUAUGGCAUACAGGUGAGAUGUAGCAGUACAUCAUGACUGAACAAUGACUCACCUACGGAGCACUCCACUGUCGGGAGUUAGCUCGCGAAGCGUAUGGGCAUAAGUACCCCUUAGACCUGAGACUGUCACGGUGACUUGCAAGCAACUCACUGUACUUAGGCACUGGACGACCUGAAUUUCUAAUUCAGGGAUCGGAAGAAUGCUGGGUGCAGUCAAAUACUCGCGAAGUCUGUGUAUGAGUCAAGAUGGG
rnacentral:lncRNA from 1 species